rnacentral:rRNA from 2 species
AUCGGGAGAGAACAACAGGGAUUACCUCAGUAACGGCGAGUGAAGCGGUAACAGCUCAAAUUUGAAAUCUGGCCUCACGGUCCGAGUUGUAAUUUGUAGAGGAUGCUUCGAGCAUGGUCUGGCCUAAGUUCCUUGGAACAGGACGUCAUAGAGGGUGAGAAUCCCGUAUGCGGCCAGGUGCCUACGCUCAUGUGAAGCUCCUUCGACGAGUCGAGUUGUUUGGGAAUGCAGCUCAAAAUGGGUGGUAAAUUUCAUCUAAAGCUAAAUAUUGGCCAGAGACCGAUAGCGCACAAGUAGAGUGAUCGAAAGAUGAAAAGCACUUUGGAAAGAGAGUUAAACAGUACGUGAAAUUGUUGAAAGGGAAGCGCUUGCAACCAGACUUGCGCGCGGCCGAUCAUCCGGUGUUCUCACCGGUGCACUCGGCCGUGCUCAGGCCAGCAUCGGUUUUGGCGGCUGGAUAAAGGCCCUAGGAAUGUAGCUCCUCUCGGGGAGUGUUAUAGCCUAGGGUGCAAUGCAGCCUGCUGGGACCGAGGACCGCGCUUCGGCUAGGAUGCUGGCGUAAUGGUUGUAAGCGGCCCGUCUUGAAACACGGACCAAGGAGUCUAACAUCUAUGCGAGUGUUUGGGUGUCAAACCCAUACGCGUAAUGAAAGUGAACGGAGGUGAGAACCCUUAAGGGUGCAUCAUCGACCGGUCCUGAAGUUUACGGAAGGAUCUGAGUAAGAGCAUAGCUGUUGGGACCCGAAAGAUGGUGAACUAUGCCUGAAUAGGGUGAAGCCAGAGGAAACUCUGGUGGAGGCUCGCAGCGGUUCUGACGUGCAAAUCGAUCGUCAAAUUUGGGUAUAGGGGCGAAAGACUAAUCGAACCAUCAGUCCU